UGCCUAUCGAAAAAUGAGUCUGCGAGUCAGUGGCGGGUGGCGAGCAUAAGCCGUGUGGCGUAUGCGUAGCGAAAGCGAGUCUUAAAAGGCGUUUUUAGUCGCUUGUCCUGGACCCGAAGCGGGAUGAUCUAGCCCUGGGCAGGUUGAAGCGCGGGUAAGACCGCGUGGAGGACCGAACCCACCUGGGUUGAAAACCGGGGGGAUGACCUGGGGCUAGGGGUGAAAGGCCAAUCAAAUUCCGUGAUAGCUGGUUCUCUCCGAAAUGCAUUUAGGUGCAGCGUCGGUCGAUUGCGUCGCGGGGGUAGAGCUACCGGAUGCUUGCGGGCCCUUGUUGGGUACCAACAGCAGCCGAACUCCGAAUACCGUUGACGUGUAUUCCGGCAGUGAGUCGGCGGGGGAUAAGCUCCGUCGUCGAGAGGGAGACAGCCCAGACCGUCGUCUAAGGUCCCGAAGCGUGUGCUAAGUGGGAAAGGAUGUGGAGUCGCAUAGACAGCCAGGAGGUUGGCUCAGAAGCAGCCAUCCUUGAAAGAGUGCGUAACAGCUCACUGGUCUAGUGGUUCCGCGCCGACAAUGUAGCGGGGCUCAAGCACACCACCGAAGACGCGGCAGCAAUCUUCAUGGUUGCUGGGUAGGAGAGCGUCCUGCGAGGGGCGAAGCGGCGGUGGAAACCGGCCGUGGACUUCGUGGGAGUGAGAAUGCAGACAUGAGUAGCGAGAGACGGGUGAGGAUCCCGUCCGCUGGAUGACCAAGGGUUCCGGGGCCACGUUCGUCGUCCCCGGGUGAGUCGGGUCCUAAGGCGAGGCCGACAGGCGUAGUCGAAUGGAUGAACGGGUGGAUAUUCCCGUACCGACCAUGGACCGGCAAAACCGAGACGGUGAGUACUAACCUCCGCCUCGUGGUGGUUCCUUCCUUCGGGUUGGUAUCGCCGCGUGGUGUUGGGAGCGUAGCCGCAGUAGGUCAGCGCAGGGGUGACACGGAAUGGGAGCCGGCCGCGGAGGUGGUUUUCCGUGGUCAAGCACGCAGCCAGUCAUGUAGGCAAAUCCGCAUGGCGCGCAUGGCGAGGUGUGAUGAUGGGAGCCGUUAUGGCUCGAUAUCCGGUUGUCCAGGCCGUCGAGAAAAGCCUCGGCGUGAGGGCCAUGGCCGCCCGUACCCCAAACCGACACUGGUGGUCAGGUAGAGAAUACCAAGGCGAUCGAGCGAAUCCUGGUCAAGGAACUCGGCAAAUCACUCCCGUGCCUUCGGUAUAAGGGAGACCCGCUGGGGUGAACCGGCUAGCCCGGGGAGCUUUGGUGGGUGGCACAGACCAGGGGGUAGCGACUGUUUACCAAAAACACAGGUGCAUGCGAAGGCGAAAGCCGCUGUAUAUGCACUGACGCCUGCCCGGUGCCGGAAGGUUAAGAGGAUCCGUCAAUCCUUCGGGAUGAAGCGGUGAAUUCAAGCCCCGGUAAACGGCGGUGGUAACUAUAACCAUCCUAAGGUAGCGAAAUUCCUUGUCGGGUAAGUUCCGACCUGCACGAAUGGCGUAACGACUUCCCCACUGUCUCGACCAGGAGCUCGGCGAAAUUGCAGUACGAGUAAAGAUGCUCGUUAAGCGCAGAAGGACGAAAAGACCCCGGGACCUUUACUAUACCUUGGUAUUGGCGUUAGGCGCGGAUUGUGUAGCAUAGGCGGGAGGCUUCGAAGCGGGUGCGCCAGCAUUCGUGGAGCCGCAAGGUGAAAUACCGCUCUGUUCUCGUUUGACGUCUAACCUCGACAAGUCAUCCUUGUCAGGGACAGUGCCUGGCGGGUAGUUCAACUGGGGCGGUUGCCUCCCAAAGAGUAACGGAGGCGCUCAAAGGUCCGCUCAGCCCGGUUGGCAAUCGGGUGUCGAGUGUAAUCGCACAAGCGGGCUUGACUGCGAGGACGACGGUCCGAGCAGGGACGAAAGUCGGAGAUAGUGAUCCGGUGCCGGCGCACGGGCGCGGCAUCGCUCAACGGAUAAAAGGUACCCCGGGGAUAACAGGCUGAUCAUUCCCAAGAGUCCAUAUCGACGGG
rnacentral:rRNA from 1 species